CUACGUGCCAGCAGCCGCGGUAAAACAUAGGGGGCAAGCGUUGUCCGGAAUCACUGGGCGUAAAGGGCGCGCAGGCGGUAAAUUAAGUCAGGUGUGAAAGUUCGGGGCUCAACCCCGUGAUUGCACCUGAUACUGAUAAACUAGAGUGUUGGAGAGGUAAGUGGAAUUCCUAGUGUAGCGGUGGAAUGCGUAGAUAUUAGGAGGAACACCAGUGGCGAAGGCGACUUACUGGCCAAUAACUGACGCUGAGGCGCGAAAGCGUGGGGAGCAAACAGGAUUAGAUACCCUGGUAGUCCACGCCCUAAACGAUGUCAAUUAGCUGUUGGGCAACUUGAUUGCUUAGUAGCGUAGCUAACGCGUGAAAUUGACCGCCUGGGGAGUACGGUCGCAAGAUUAAAACUCAAAGGAAUUGACGGGGACCCGCACAAGCGGUGGAUGAUGUGGAUUAAUUCGAUGCAACGCGAAGAACCUUACCUGGUCUUGACAU
rnacentral:rRNA from 1 species